rnacentral:rRNA from 1 species
GACGAACGCUGGCGGCGUGCCUAAUACAUGCAAGUCGAACGCAGUGGGGACGGGUGAGUAACACGUGGGUAACCUCCCAUCAGAGGGGAUAACACUUGGAAACAGGUGCUAAACCGAUACUGAUGGAUGGACCCGGGGUGCAUUAGCUAGUUGGUGAGGUAACGGCUAACCAAGGCCACGAUGCAUAGCCAACCUGGGAGGGUGUGAGGCCACACUGGGACUGCGACACGGCCCAGACUCCAACGGGAGGGAGCAGGAGGGAAUCGUCGGCAAGGGACGAAAGGCUGACCGGGAAACGCCGCGUGAGUGAAGAAGGUUUUCGGAGCGUAAAACUCUGUUGUUAGAGAAGCGGUAUCUAACCAGAAAGCCACGGCUAACUACGUGCCAGCCGCCGCGGUAAUUC